rnacentral:rRNA from 1 species
UACGGAGGAUCCAAGCGUUAUCCGGAUUUAUUGGGUUUAAAGGGUGCGUAGGCGGCCUUGUAAGUCAGGGGUGAAAGACGGUAGCUCAACUAUCGCAGUGCCCUUGAUACUGCAGGGCUUGAAUACACUAGAGGUAGGCGGAAUGUGACAAGUAGCGGUGAAAUGCAUAGAUAUGUCACAGAACACCGAUUGCGAAGGCAGCUCACUAAGCUAUGAUUGACGCUGAGGCUCGAAAGCGUGGGGAUCAAACAGG